UCCGUGAGGUGGUGCUCUUGUUGUAUGC
rnacentral:sRNA from 1 species